GACGAACGCUGGCGGCGUGCUUAACACAUGCAAGUCGAACGGAAACGCCCUGCUUUUUUGGGGUGCUCGAGUGGCGAACGGGUGCGUAACACGUGAGUAACCUGCCCUUGACUUUGGGAUAACUUCAGGAAACUGGGGCUACUACCGUAUAGGAUCUCCUGCUCGGUGGUGGGGGUGGGAAAGUUUCGGCGGUUGGGGAUGGACGCGCGGCUGAUCAGCUUGUUGGUGGGGUAGUGGCUUACCAAGGCUUUGACGGGUAGCCGGCCUGAGAGGGUGACCGGCCACAUUGGGACUGAGAUACGGCCCAGACUCCUACGGGAGGCAGCAGUGGGGAAUAUUGCACAAUGGGCGGAAGCCUGAUGCAGCAACGCCGCGUGCGGGAUGACGGCCUUCGGGUUGUAAACCGCUUUCGCCUGUGACGAAGCGUGAGUGACGGUAAUGGGUAAAGAAGCACCGGCUAACUACGUG
rnacentral:rRNA from 1 species